AAGAAAAAAGAUUUAGUAUAAAGCUGCUAACUUUAGGCUUAGCGGUUAAACUCCGUUAUUUUCUUU
rnacentral:tRNA from 1 species